GAUGAACGCUGGCGGCGUGCCUAAUACAUGCAAGUCGAGCGAACAGACGAGGAGCUUGCUCCACUGACGUUAGCGGCGGACGGGUGAGUAACACGUGGAUAACCUACCUAUAAGACUGGGAUAACUUCGGGAAACCGGAGCUAAUACCGGAUAAUAUAUUGAACCGCAUGGUUCAAUAGUGAAAGACGGUUUUGCUGUCACUUAUAGAUGGAUCCGCGCCGCAUUAGCUAGUUGGUAAGGUAACGGCUUACCAAGGCAACGAUGCGUAGCCGACCUGAGAGGGUGAUCGGCCACACUGGAACUGAGACACGAUCCAGACUCCUACGGGAGGCAGCAGUAGGGAAUCUUCCGCGAUGGGCGAAAGCCUGACGGAGCAACGCCGCGUGAGUGAUGAAGGUCUUCGGAUCGUAAAACUCUGUUAUUAGGGAAGAACAAAUGUGUAAGUAACUAUGCACGUCUUGACGGUACCUAAUCAGAAAGCCACGGCUAACUACGUG
rnacentral:rRNA from 1 species